GAUGAAGAACGCAGCGAAGUGCGAUAAGUAGUGUGAAUUGCAGAAUUCCGUGGAUCAUCGAAUUUUUGAACGCAAAUUGCACUCUCUGGUAUUCCGGAGAGUAUGCCUGUUUGAGGGUCAUUAAAAUCAAAAUCGAUUUGUUUACUUUGGUAACUUGGUAACAUUUUCGGAAUUGGGUCAUCUUAAACCUUCAGGUUCAAGAGGCUUAAAAUUGAUCAUUUUUUGGUAUGAAUUAAGCGUAUUUAAGAUCACUUAUCACGCGCUUGACUCCUAUCGGAUGUUUAUUAGGCGUGACCAUGAUCAUGGUUUCGCGCCCAUAAUCUUUCCAUGAAAUGACCUCAAAUCAGGUAGGAAUACCCGCUGAACUUAAGCAUAUCAAUAAGCGGAGGA
rnacentral:misc_RNA from 1 species